GUUAUACUGCACCAGAGUUGUUGG
rnacentral:piRNA from 1 species